rnacentral:rRNA from 1 species
AGUGAACGCUGGCGGUAGGCCUAACACAUGCAAGUCGAACGGCAGCACAGUAAGAGCUUGCUCUUACGGGUGGCGAGUGGCGGACGGGUGAGGAAUACAUCGGAAUCUACUUUUUCGUGGGGGAUAACGUAGGGAAACUUACGCUAAUACCGCAUACGACCUACGGGUGAAAGCAGGGGAUCUUCGGACCUUGCGCGAUUGAAUGAGCCGAUGUCGGAUUAGCUAGUUGGCGGGGUAAAGGCCCACCAAGGCGACGAUCCGCAGCUGGUCAGAGAGGAUGAUCAGCCACACUGGAACUGAGACACGGUCCAGACUCCUACGGGAGGCAGCAGUGGGGAAUAUUGGACAAUGGGCGCAAGCCUGAUCCAGCCAUACCGCGUGGGUGAAGAAGGCCUUCGGGUUGUAAAGCCCUUUUGUUGGGAAAGAAAAGCAGCAGGUUAAUACCCCGCUGUUCUGACGGUACCCAAAGAAUAAGCACCGGCUAACUUCGU